AAACCAUGCAUCAGACAUUUUCACAGUAAGUCUUUAAAUCGCUUUCAAGCUUCAUACAAGUUCUUAUCCUCCAAUUGUUUGAAAGAUGUGAUGUUAUUCCUCAAUCU